AGGGUGCGGGGCGGGGACCCCGUCCUCUUCCGGCCUUUCUCCGGGACGCGGACACCCCCAGUGCGGCACCUGCUGGGUGAUGAGCCCACUGAAGGGCUGCUGUGGGAGCCGCAGCAACUUCUGCAGUUCGUCAUUUCAAGCCCUUUUGUUCAGAGAUUCUGCCGACUUGCGCUUAGAGACCCCUUAUUUAUUCUUAAAAAGGCAAAAUAUGCACGAGAUGUAAAAUUCAAAACGGCCGCAAGAGCAGAGCACAGUACUAUGGUUCGUAUGUAACAUGUCUCCCAAAAGGACCCCGUGUUCAGAGGUGCGGCUUUGGGAAGGUGAUCAGGUUGCAGGAGCGAUGCCCUCCUCCAUGGACUGAUCGAAGGGUCAACUUCAUUUGUAGCCCAGGCAAAGCACCUAGAAGGGCAGCGGGAAACUGUCUUUCACUCUUCUUGUGGACAUUACGUUUGACUCAGAAUAUUGGAAAUGCAGAUCUG